GGGGGUAUAGCUCAGCGGUACAGCAUUUGACUGCAGAUCAAGAGGUCCCUGGUUCAAAUCCAGGUGCCCCCU
rnacentral:tRNA from 2 species